GGGGGUGUAGCUCAUAUGGUAGAGCGCUCGCUUUGCAUGCGAGAAGGCACGGGUUCGAUUCCUCGCACCUCCA
rnacentral:tRNA from 1 species